rnacentral:rRNA from 1 species
AACGAACGCUGGCGGCAUGCCUAACACAUGCAAGUCGAACGAGACCUUCGGGUCUAGUGGCGCACGGUUUCGUAACGCGUGGGAACCUUCCCUUAUGUUCGGAAUAACUCCCCGAAAGGGGUGCUAAUACCGGAUAAUGUCUUCUGACCAAAGAUUUAUCGCCUUUGGAUGGGCCCGCGUUGGAUUAGCUAGAUGGUAGGGUAAAAGCCUACCAAGGCGACGAUCCAUAGCUGGUCUGAGAGGAUGAUCAGCCACACUGGGACUGAGACACGGCCCAGACUCCUACGGGAAGCAGCAGUGGGGAAUAUUGGACAAUGGGCGAAAGCCUGAUCCAGCAAUGCCGCGUGAGUGAUGAAGGCAUUAGGGUUGUAAAGCUCUUUUACCCGGGAUGAUAAUGACAGUACCGGGAGAAUAAGCUCCGGCUAACUCCGUG